GUGGCCGUAGCUCACCUGGUAGAGCACCGGAUUGUGGCUCCGGAGGUAGCGGGUUCGAGCCCCGUCGGCCACCCCA
rnacentral:tRNA from 1 species